rnacentral:rRNA from 1 species
CGUAGGUGGCUUGUUAAGUUGGAUGUGAAAGCCCCGGGCUCAACCUGGGAACUGCAUCCAAAACUGGCAAGCUAGAGUACGGUAGAGGGUGGUGGAAUUUCCUGUGUAGCGGUGAAAUGCGUAGAUAUAGGAAGGAACACCAGUGGCGAAGGCGACCACCUGGACUGAUACUGACACUGAGGUGCGAAAGCGUGGGGAGCAAACA